rnacentral:rRNA from 1 species
UCAGUGUCCGAGUUGUAAUCUCUAGAAGUGUUUCCGCGUUGGACCGCACACAAGUUCUGUUGGAAUACAGCGGCACAGUGGUGACACCCCCGUACACGGUGCGGACGCCCAGCGCUUUGUGAUACACUUUCGAAGAGUCGAGUUGUUGGGAAUGCAGCUCAAAUUGGGUGGUAAAUCCAUCUAAAGCUAAAUAUGGCGAGAGACCGAUAGCGAACAAGUACCGUGAGGGAAAGAUGAAAAGCACUUUGGAAAGAGAGUUAACAGUACGUGAAAUUGUUGGAAGGGAAACGCUUGAAGUCAGACUUGCUUGCCGGAGCUUGCUUCGGUUUGCAGGCCAGCAUCAGUUUUCCGGGGUGGAUAAUGGUGGUUAGAAGGUAGCAGUCUUCAGCUGUGUUAUAGCUUUCCGCUGGAUACAUCCUGGGGGACUGAGGAACGCAGCGUGCUUUUAGCGGGGGUUUCGACCUCUUCA